GUGCACUUGCCUGGAUGCAUGAAGCAGUUCAUACGAAGGGAGAGCACAUAUACUAAAAUUGGAACGAUAUAGAGAUUAGCGUGGUCCCUGUGCUAAAAUGACAUGCAAAAGCAUAAAGCGUUCUUUAUUUUU
ensembl:snRNA U6 U6 spliceosomal RNA